AAAAGGGGUUCUUCGGUUUUUUUUUUGGUUUUUAAUUUUCCACUCGGGCAGAGAGAGCUCUGUCGAUACACUGCGAUCGAGGUGAAACAGUGGAAGGCAAAACAAACAAACAAAAAAAAUGCCUGUACAUUUUAAAGAUCUUUAACAUUUAACCGCUGUCUGACACGAACUGAAGAUGAAUGCCCCCCCCCUCCUUGUUUAACAUGGAGAAACCUCAGUGUUGGCUGGUUUGUUUGUUUUAGGGUUUUUUUUGUAAUUUUUUUUGUUGUUGUUGUUUUUAGUUUAGUGUUUUGUUUUGUGGGGGUUUUUUUGUUUUGGGGGUUUUUGGGGUGGGUUUUUUUUUUUUUUUUUUUUUUUUUUUUUUUUUGGAAGAGGAUCUACACAGCAUCAGAAACAUAUCAACCUUCCUGAAGAUUGGGGAGGACGCUGUUGAAGCACUGAAUAGAAACACUAAAUUUUUUUUGGCACUUAAUUAAAAGUUACUGCCUCUAAAAGCAGUCGAUGUAGCAGUGUGCAAUUAGGUUUAAUUUACUUUGCUCCUUUUUUUUUUUUUUUCUUUUUUUUUUUUUUUUACUACCUGUGUGUAAAUAAAAUUAUAUAUAUAUAAAUAUAUAAACAUAUAUUAUUUCUCUCCAUAUGUAGCACAUAAGACAUUAUGAUUUAAAAAGAAAUCCUUUAUGUAAAACGGUGUGAAUUUUGAUUUGACUUGAAUUGCAAUGUUUGAUAAAUGUUUCCAAAAUGCUGUUCUGUUAGUUUUAUUUUAUUUUUUUUUGGGGGGUUGUUGAUACAGUCCCUUAUUGCUACAUUUAAAACAAAAAUCUUGGCUUCUUACAGUUUCUUAAUAGUGUUUCUUCCCUCGUCAUCUUCCUAACUCAGCAUUGAAGAAUGGUACAAAUGUAGCGUUUUUUUUGUUUGUUUGUUUUUUUAAAUAAUUUUUUCCCCCUUCUUCUGGUCAGUCCAGUGUCACAAAGUGUAAGUUCUCCUAUACAAUCUAGUUCAACAGGAAGAAGUGUAGUAUUUGUGUAAGGACAGUCUUUAAGUCAAUUGAUAUUUAUUUUGUAAUUGAGGUGCUUUUAGCAUCAGCUGAAUCCUGGAAUAAGAUUAUUAUUAUUUUUAUUUUUUUUCCCCUCCCACGCUCUGGAGUUGCGAGGUACUCAGAUAUUGAAGGACAAAGACUAUACAAACUGCACAGGUUGUGUUCUCCUUGACUGUUCCUAUUGUUUGAUGAACAUUAAGGCUUGUUUUAUGUUUUUUUGUUUUUAAGGGUUGAAUGUCCUACAAUACCAAAUACAUGGUUGCAUCAAUAUGUUUGCCAGCACUGCUUGUGCUCUUCAAUUGACUUCACAUUGUGUUACUUUGUGAUAACCUAGAGAUGUUUGUACUUUUCUCAUCGAUGUUGUUAGCCUGCUGAGGAUGCACAUGAGCAUCUAAAAGCUUCCCUUUAUUUGCCUGAAGUGUGGUUUAUUUUAUUUUUUGUUUUAUUUUUUGAAAAAGACCAGGGUACACCUAAAUGGAGACAGAAAACAGCUAGUCUCUGAAAUGCAGUCACCAUGCCUGUGUAUUAUGUAAAUCAUUGCAAUGUACCUUUGUACAUAAUUUUGUAAAAACACUGAGAAAUAUACUAACUUAUUUAUGUCAAGCCUUUUUUUUUUAUGUAGAAUAAAAAAGAUGGGUUUUUGAUUACGGUUAUCCAAAGUGGCAUUUACUUUAUUAUAAUUGUUUUAUUUUGUAAAACCAUAUUUUUGGUAGUUGUUGUUUUUUUUUUUUUUUUUUUUUUUUUUUUUUAUAAAGGUUGCAAACUGAGCCUGGUAAAAUAUUUGAUGUGCAUUUUGUAAUGUGUGGUUAUAAAAUGUAUUGCAAUCAAUUAAAAAAGGAAA
ensembl:lncRNA